AUUGAACGCUGGCGGCAGGCCUAACACAUGCAAGUCGAGCGGAUGAAGGGAGCUUGCUCCUGGAUUCAGCGGCGGACGGGUGAGUAAUGCCUAAGAAUCUGCCUGGUAGUGGGGGAUAACGUCCGGAAACGGGCGCUAAUACCGCAUACGUCCUGAGGGAGAAAGUGGGGGAUCUUCGGACCUCACGCUAUCAGAUGAGCCUAGGUCGGAUUAGCUAGUUGGUGGGGUAAAGGCCUACCAAGGCGACGAUCCGUAACUGGUCUGAGAGGAUGAUCAGUCACACUGGAACUGAGACACGGUCCAGACUCCUACGGGAGGCAGCAGUGGGGAAUAUUGGACAAUGGGCGAAAGCCUGAUCCAGCCAUGCCGCGUCUGUGAAGAAGGUCUUCGGAUUGUAAAGCACUUUAAGUUGGGAGGAAGGGCAGUGAGUUAAUACCUUGCUGUUUUGACGUUACCAACAGAAUAAGCACCGGCUAACUUCGUG
rnacentral:rRNA from 1 species